UCUUUUUUUUUGGCAGGGUGAGACUAUUCUGCAUUAAAUUUGCAUAUGGCCACCUUUUUCCCUAGUGUAGCUCUGGUGAUCCCUCUGGCCUUAUCUCUGAUUAAUAUGGCCCCUAAACUUUACAAACAUUGCCCUCAUGCCUUAGGCAACAUCUAUGCUCCUUGUACCUUUUGCAAAUGAACCAGAAGGACCUGUAGAAGUGAGCAACGCUUUAGUAUUUAUCUUACUUUUUCAUUAAACUGCUGAUAGUGAUAUUAUGUUCCUCCAUGACAACACUGAUCUUUAACUGAAACAAAUUAAACCUGUACCGUAAAUUUUCUUUACAGAGAGUAAUACACUGAGUUCUGGAUGCUUGUAGCAAGAACAUUAAUGGAGUACUCGGGGUGGCAAGCAGAAUGCAUUUUAAAUGUAAUGUAAAAGAGAUGAAGAAAGAGAAUUGCAUCUUUCAAGGAAGAAGACCGACAAAACCCCAGAGACGAAAUGGAGCACCUGUCCUUUCCUAUGACGUUCUACCAAUCAGCAACGAAGUACUUUGCCUGAAUCUUCUCUCCUCCCGCUCUUCCCUGAAAGAGCUUUCUGGACAAAUAUUGAAGUAAACGCAGGGAGACGAGGAUGGUUUAAGUGUCAGCACUUCUCUGCUCUGCUGUGAGAUGGCAGAAGAUCUGAUUUUGGAAACAAGGCCCAGGACUUUGUGGAGAGCUACAAGCAGCACAUUUUCCAAGUGAGUACAAAUCUAUAGAUCUCAGUUGAGAAGACUUCAGAGUUGUUGAUUAAUAUUGUUCUUGUGCCUUGGGUAUUCAUAGCCAUCCCAG
rnacentral:lncRNA from 1 species